CAAAGCCUGGGGGAGGGCAGUGGCACCAGCAUGCCGAGCUCUGCUUCCUGUAGCCUUGGUCUGUUUGGAUGAGAACAUACUAGUAAUGAUUCCAUCAUAGAAUAUGUAUGGACUUCAACAGAAAGAUAAACUGAGGUUUAUCACAAGGCAUACAUAGCCAGAUGAAAGAACAAGGUAUCAUUAUUCUAUCAGGUCAUAUUGCAGAUCUUGCGUUGUUAUGGUCAACAAAAUCGGAAUUUUGUUGUUUGCUUUGGAGUUCAGCUGCCUAAGUUUGAAUCCUAAAUGCCUCUUCCUAGUUGUGUAACCUUGAGAAGACUUUUAACUUCCUUCUUGCCUUAUCUAUAAACUAGAGAUGAUGAUAUCUAUCUCUUUUAACUUUUGAUAUUUAUAGUUGUUAAAAAUAUAUUAGAUGCUUGGGAGGCUGAGGCAGAAGGAUCAAGGCCAGUCUCAUCGACACAGAGUUGGAGGACAGCCUGAGCUAUAGGAGACACUGUCUCAAACAGAUAGACAAGUAUACAAUGCUUUAAAAUUGCCCAGUUCAUAGUGAGUUGUAGUGAAUGGCACAAGCCUGGAUUCUCAGCACUGGCUGGAAAGCCUGAGGAAAGAAGCCAGGAGUUUGAAGCCAGCCUUAGACACAAAGUAAGAGUCCCCCAAAAUGUCCCUAGUUUACUCCUGGAGACCCUGGAAUUUCUGGUUAAAGUGUAGUAGAGAUUUGGGUGUCCUGAACAUCACAGGAAUGAGAAGGGAAGUGAGGGGGGAGCAAUGUAUGUCCAGUCUCUUCACCGUUCACAUACCAUCUCUGGCUCACAGGGGGGUUUUGUGUGUGUGUGUGUGUGUGUGUGUGUGUGUGUGUGUGUGUGUGUUUCUAACAAGAACUAAGAGCCCAUAGGCCUCAGUUCUCAGCUGGCCUCUCUGCCCCUCUUCUCCUGACCCUCACCUUUUAACUUAAAAGGAGUCCUUGGCAUCUCAGCCUGGGACACACCUCCUCAGCUAAAAGCACAUGCAUGAAUGCCUGAGUGUCACCAUAUCUCUCUUGGGACAAAGUCUGAGUGUUUACAAUGAGAGAGACAGAGAGAGAGCACAUGCAUGAACCAAAGCGGUGCCAUCUCUACAAGCCUAGGAACUCAGGAAGGAGCGCCCUUCCUCCUCCUUAGGCUACCAGCACUAGCUACCUUACCAGGACCUUGUCCUGGCUCGAAGACACCAGAUUCCCCAAUGCCCAUUAGUAAAAGGUGGUGGCAGGGAGGAAACCGAGAUGCUGAGGAAGGAGCAACACAUAGCACCUGGGUCUGCCUUGGUGUCCCUUACUUGACUGUGACUUUAAGAAUCAGGAUCCUUUCCCCCACAGCCCCAUUUGUUCAGCCCCUGCUCUUCAAGGUGAAGUAAGGACAUUGAAUGGGCCCUGUCUGUUAGUGGAGUGACUCGGAGCCUUUGGUGUGAGAGACAGUCUCAGUUCCAGUUCUUAUGGCUACAGCGGCGCUUAGGGAACUUUGGAGCCUCGUGAGGGGAGGCAGGUGUGGUGUGUGGAAAGAAUACUGGCUGGGAGUUGGGGGCUGGGUUUUUGCCAUUCACCAGUUGUGUAACUUGGGGCCUGGCUUUUUAUUAUAUAUUACCCACUUAGGGUAAGGGUCAAGAACAUAAUAUUGGGCGUAGGGCUAUAGCUCGGUAGCAGAACACUUGCCUGGUGUGCAUGAGGUUUUAAGUUUGAUCCCUAGCACUGCAGGAAAAGAAAAGAAAAAAAAAACAAGACACAUAAAGCAAUAUGGUAAGCAUGUUCAAUCUGUAUUGCCGCCUGUCAUGGUAAGCUAGCUAGCUGUUCCUGUGGAUUCUUCUCUCUUCCUCAGCCUGGCAAAUGCCAGGCUGAGGAUGCACGUGCCACCGGGAACCAGGGACAGUUUCAUCUCUCACUGAGACAUCUGUGGCUCUCAUGCAGUAGGACGCGUGUCAUGUCCUUUUGCCUGACAGGCAGGAGAUGGGGUACCAAUAGGGACCUCCUUCCUGUUUGUUCAGAGAGGUCAGAAGUUCACAGGUAGAUGGGGAGACAAAAAUGGAUAUUAUUGCACCCGGAAAUACUGCCAUGCUUCUUUACUUUGCAGGUGGGCAUUUGACCUGAAGAGAGGGAGUUAGGAUUUACAGGCCUGGGGAGGAGGAGGAGGGGACAAGCUUUGGUGACUAUCAGCAUUUUCAUACACAUCAGUGAGUGGGUGUGUUGUGCAUGCAUCC
ensembl:lncRNA